rnacentral:rRNA from 1 species
AGAGUUUGAUCAUGGCUCAGGAUGAACGCUAGCUACAGGCUUAACACAUGCAAGUCGAGGGGCAGCAUUUUAGUUUGCUUGCAAAACUAAAGAUGGCGACCGGCGCACGGGGUGAGUAACACGUAUCCAACCUGCCGAUAACUCGGGGAUAGCCUUUCGAAAGAAAGAUUAAUAUCCGAUGGUAUAUUAAAACCGCAUGGUUAUACUAUUAAAGAAUUUCGGUUAUCGAUGGGGAUGCGUUCCAUUAGUUUGUUGGCGGGGUAACGGCCCACCAAGACUACGAUGGAUAGGGGUUCUGAGAGGAAGGUCCCCCACAUUGGAACUGAGACACGGUCCAAACUCCUACGGGAGGCAGCA